ensembl:lncRNA
GCUAAUGCUAAUCUCUUUUUAAAUUCUCCUUCGCAUGCCGUCAUGGUUAUUUUGAUGUUUACGAUAUACAUAACGUAUAUGUGUAUGUUUAAGAUUACGCUUUAACUCUCUAGAACUUGCUUGAUUGAAUCAUCAGUGGUUUUCUAAACACUCAUUUUUUUUUUUUUUUUAGGUUUGACUCUUUUCUCUGUGAUGACUGGAGUUGUUGUGGGUUUGGUGGUUGUGUUGUUGUGCGCCAUUACAUGUGUAAGAAAAGAAAACAGGAAACUUUCACGGACUAAACAAGAAGGCGCUAAGAGAAGUGAUCAAACUACCACUGAAGUUGUUCCACAGAAGAAUCAAGACGACUCUGUUUAUGUCAUGAUAUCAUCUGAUGGAGCCGCCACAGCAAACCAAGAAUCCAUCAUUUACUCCUCCAUUGACUUCACGAACUUUAAACCACAAGAGUUCGGUAGCGUCUCCUCGCUUCAUGCUGUCUACAGUAUGGUCCAGGAUUGUUCUGGAGGGCUGGCAAAGACUGAGAGCUCAAUGGCCGAGUCUUCAAGAGCCAGAGAAUCACAAGUGAUUUUGAUUGCAGAUGUGCUUACUAAACAAACAGAGUCAAAGCAAUCAGAGGAAGAGCUGUUUGAAGACUCCUCUGAGCUUUAUGCAAAGGUUAAACACCAUAACCCAUAGCUUGAGUCUUUGCCAUAAGUAUAAGUAAACAAAAGAAAAUGUUAACAUUUAGCCCCAUUAUUGCUGAUGCAUCAAAUAGCUUUAGAGGUUACUGAUGGGUUGUGAAAUAUGUUGGUUAAAAAACAAACAAGCAAAAAUGAUGACUGUUAGAGACAGUGGAGAGCACAAGGAUGAAUAGUGCACUGUAAAAACUUGGAGUAGUUCUUACACUUAAUUUGGUUUGCCUUUACAGUGUUUAAGUUUUUUUAUUGUGUAUUAUAUAAACAUUCCCUGAAUUUUUCCUUUCUUUGAUGUUUUGGAAUUAUUUGAAAUGCCUUGGGUUGCCAUGAAAAUUGGAAUGUGAUACGCUCUAGUUUAUCUAUAAUACUGCUUUCAGGGCAACAAAUAUUCUGGAGUAAUAGCACUUUUGAAUUAAUGAGUAUCAAAAUCAGUCUAAGAUUUUCAUUUGGCCCUUUUGAAGCUAAACUUGUGGCAACAAAGAAUCUAAGGAUUGUUCAUAGCAACUUGUGUGUGCGUAGCAACCAUAUGUUUGUUUUAUUUUCUUUCAUUUUUGUUCAUUUAUUUGUUUUUAAUUAUAAAAUCAUUUAAUCUUAAAAAGUAUGUUUUUCAAGGAAAAAAUAUUGUCUUAGAAGAGGUGUAUUUAAGUCAUUAUAUUUGUGGAUAAAAAUGGAUAAAAAUUAAUCAUGUAACAGAACAUUAGGUCAUAUUUAAAAAUGUAUGAAUGUUGUUGGUAUAUAAAACAAACUUUCAUAUCAAGUGGCAUUUAUUUUUUACAGAUAAACUAGUCAAACUGAGCAAAAAAAGUAUGCAGUUGUCAUGUUUUACUGUGAUGAACAGUGCUUACUCUUCUACUGUACAUUCAUGUAGGGCUGCUCGAUUACGACAAAAAUCAUAAUCACGAUUAUUUUGGUCAAUAUUGUAAUCACGGUUAUUUAAAACGAUCAUGAGGGGGCCAUAUGACCAAAACUUUAUAUGAGUGGUUUAUUUAAAGAUAGUGAUAAAUAUCAAAUUUGUAUUUCCUGUAAAUAAGGUUGCUACAAUCAUUAUAUCUGCACUGUUUACUUCACUGGUUUGCACUCUAUCUACCAUUUGCUGCUUUACUUAUCUUUCUUUUCACAUGACCUAUUUGUAUAUUUGUAUAGUUGUACUUUAUAUUUUUUUUAAACAAACUGUGCUUUAAUGUUUUUUUUUUAUGCAAGUCUCAAGCAGUGUGAUUAUUUCAUUUAUUCACUAUACCAUUUAUUAUUAAUGUCUCAUUUCAGUUUAAGUUUGGCUUUAGUUUUGUAUUUACUGCAGUUUAUAUGAAAAGGUUCAUGUAGCGUGGUACAGCCUACUGCAGAAAUUAAUAAUCAAACGUAAAAUAAAAUAUACGCACGGAUCCA